AUGUUAGGAUCGGCUCGCUCAUCCUCAUCAUCCGAAAAGAAAAUAUAGAAAAAAUAGAUUUGUUUCAAUGACAUAUCUAUCCAGACUGACAUUGAUGUUGAAUACACGAUCAUUCACAUCAACUGAAGCAGGCAGGAAGGGCGCGGAAGCUACCGUUUAACGAAUGCAAGCAUGGCAGCUUGCUUACUCUCCAUCUAG
rnacentral:rRNA from 1 species